UUUGGCGUUAAGGGUUGGUGUGUGUCUCGGGUGAUGCCCACUGUCGAUAAUCCUGGUCAGGCUGUACCCUGACCUUCCCCACCCGUGUUUGUGUCUUGGAGUGUCUGUGUUCACACCACUUCCUGACGAAGGUGGUCUGGCUCCUGGGUCAGCCUGUGGUCU